CAGGGAUUCCCCUAGUAACGGCGAGUGAAGCGGGAACAGCUCAAAUUUGAAAUCUGGCCCUCGGGUCCGAGUUGUAAUUUGUAGAGGAUGCUUUUGGUGCGGUGCCUUCCGAGUUCCCUGGAACGGGACGCCUUAGAGGGUGAGAGCCCCGUACGGUUGGACGCCUAGCCUCUGUAAAGCUCCUUCGACGAGUCGAGUAGUUUGGGAAUGCUGCUCUAAAUGGGAGGUAUAUUUCUUCUAAAGCUAAAUACUGGCCAGAGACCGAUAGCGCACAAGUAGAGUGAUCGAAAGAUGAAAAGCACUUUGAAAAGAGGGUUAAAUAGCACGUGAAAUUGUUGAAAGGGAAGCGUUUAUCACCAGACUUUUUCUGGGGGGAUCAUCCGGUGUUCUCACCGGUGCACUUCCCCCAGUGGAGGCCAGCAUCGGUUUUCGGAGGGGGAUAAAAGCUUCGGGAAUGUGACUCCCUCGGGAGUGUUAUAGCCCGUUGCAUAAUACCCUUCUGGGGACCGAGGUUCGCGCAUCUGCAAGGAUGCUGGCAUAAUGGUGAUCAACGACCCGUCUUGAAACACGGACCAAGGAGUCGAACAUUUAUGCGAGUGUUUGGGUGUCAAACCCUCACGCGUAAUGAAAGUGAACGGAGGUGAGAGCCCUUACGGGUGCAUCAUCGACCGAUCCUGAUGUCUUCGGAUGGAUUUGAGUAAGAGCAUAACUGUUCGGACCCGAAAGAUGGUGAACUAUGCGUGGAUAGGGUGAAGCCAGGAGAAAUCCUGGUGGAGGCUCGCAGCGGUUCUGACGUGCAAAUCGAUCGUCAAAUCUGCGCAUGGGGCG
rnacentral:rRNA from 1 species